rnacentral:tRNA from 1 species
UCCCUAGCUGUCCAGUGGUUAGGACUUGGUGUUUUCACUGCUGAGGCCCAGGUUUGAUCCCUGGUCAGGGAA